GUCGAGAAUCUUCGGCAAUGGGCGCAAGCCUGACCGAGCGACGCCGCGUGGAGGACGAAGGCCUUCGGGUUGUAAACUCCUGUCGAGGGGGAGGAAGGGGCAACCUUGACCGAUCCCUGGAGGAAGCACGGGCUAAGUUCGUGCCAGCAGCCGCGGUAAGACGAACCGUGCGAACGUUAUUCGGAAUCACUGGGCUUAAAGCGCGUGUAGGCGGGAUGGUACGUCCGUCGCUGAAAUCCCCCGGCUCAACCGGGGAACGGGCGGGGAUACGGCCAUCCUGGAGGGAGGUAGGGGGGUCUGGAACUUCCGGUGGAGCGGUGAAAUGCGUUGAGAUCGGAAGGAACGCCCGUGGCGAAAGCGAGACCCUGGACCUCUUCUGACGCUGAGACGCGAAAGCUAGGGGAGCGAACGGG
rnacentral:rRNA from 1 species